rnacentral:rRNA from 1 species
GUAGAGCACUCCUACGGGAGGCAGCAGUGGGGAAUAUUGCACAAUGGGCGCAAGCCUGAUGCAGCCAUGCCGCGUGUAUGAAGAAGGCCUUCGGGUUGUAAAGUACUUUCAGCAGUGAGGAAGGUGGAUAUGUUAAUAGCAUAUUCAUUUGACGUUAGCUGCAGAAGAAGCACCGGCUAACUCCGUGCCAGCAGCCGCGGUAAUACGGAGGGUGCGAGCGUUAAUCGGAAUUACUGGGCGUAAAGCGCAUGCAGGUGGUUUGUUAAGUCAGAUGUGAAAGCCCGGGGCUCAACCUCGGAAUUGCAUUUGAAACUGGCAAACUAGAGUACUGUAGAGGGGGUAGAAUUUCAGGUGUAGCGGUGAAAUGCGUAGAGAUCUGAAGGAAUACCGGUGGCGAAGGCGGCCCCCUGGACAGAUACUGACACUCAGAUGCGAAAGCGUGGGGAGCAAACAGGAUUAGAUACCCUGGUAG